rnacentral:rRNA from 1 species
AUUGAACGCUGGCGGCAGGCCUAACACAUGCAAGUCGAACGAGUGGCGGACGGGUGAGUAAUGUCUGGGAAACUGCCUGAUGGAGGGGGAUAACUACUGGAAACGGUAGCUAAUACCGCAUACCAUCAGAUGUGCCAAGAUGGGAUUAGCUUGUGGUGGGGGUAACGGCUCACCAAGGCGACGAUCCCUAGCUGGUCUGAGAGGAUGACCAGCCACACGUGAACUGAGACACGGUCCAGACUCCUACGGGAUGCAGCAGUGGGGAUGAUUGCACAAUGGGCGCAAGCCUGAUGCAGCAAUGCCGCGUGUAUGAAGAAGGCCUUCGGGGUGUAAAGUACUUUCAGCGGGGAGGCGUUACCCGCAGAAGAAGCACCGGCUAACUCCGUGCCAGCAGCCGCGGUAAUUC